rnacentral:misc_RNA from 1 species
GAUGAAGAACGCAGCGAAAUGCGAUAAGUAAUGUGAAUUGCAGAAUUCCGUGAAUCAUCGAAUCUUUGAACGCACAUUGCGCCCCCUGGCAUUCCGGGGGGCACGCCUGUCCGAGCGUCAUUUCUGCCCUCCAGCCCGGCUGGGUGUUGGGCGCUGUCCCCCCGGGGACACGCCCCAAAGGCAGUGGCGGCGCCGCGUCGGGUCCUCGAGCGUAUGGGGCUUUGUCACCCGCUCGGGACGGACUCGUCGGCGCUGGUCUUCCUCCAGGCGACCCUUCGGGGCUCGUCUUCCUUCGGUUGACCUCGGAUCAGGUAGGGUUACCCGCUGAACUUAAGCAUAUCAAUAAGCGGAGGA